UAAGCUAGACACGGGUGAAGACAGAAUGAGCGAGAGAAUCAGAAGGAGCCAGAUUAGAGCAGAUUGCUGAGUUAGUUUGAGGUUAAGCAGAGCAAUUCAUAGGCCAGAAGAGAAAAGCCAGAUUGAUUAACCAGCUUGGAGAGGAGUUUGAGCCAGAACAGCUGAGUUGAACCAGCCAGCUAAGAGUUCAGAAAGAACCAAGAAAGGGUGAGUUUAUUCAGCAGUAAGUCUCAGAGGCUGAAAACAUUCUAGCCUCAGUUAGAGUGUACAGAGGUUAGAAGCUUCCAGGACUAGGACUAGGUUAGCAGACAGGGGCAGUAAGUCUCACAGACAAAAAUUAUCACAGGAGAAUAAAAGCUACUUUUGCAUAUCUCCCCAUUCCAUGUUCAUGAGUGUGAGUUCUGAAUCUUCCACCGCUCUGCUUUUAAUAAUCUGAAACUCGGAGGGGGAAGCUCAGGCCUGCUGACUCAGUGCCUGCUGCAUCUGAAAUAGCUCUGCUUUAGUCCCAAAAUGAUUUAAAUGCAUCUAAAUAGCCCUUGGUAAUCUGUUGCUCUUUGGAGCCAUCCAAAAAUUACUAUCCUUCCAUUAUGAAUGUCUUCAGAAAACUCUUCUCCCUUCAUCAUUAGAUAAUCGAUCAUUUCGUUUAUCUGAUGAGGAGAGCUGUGGGAUCUGAGGCCUUUAGGAGAGCCACUUCCCAAUCCUUGUAUAAAUAAGUUCUAGAGUUGGAACCCAGGGUCAUCCAGGAGCAAAGUUCAUACUGAUGGAGCUUGACAGAAGCCUGCUCAAGAGCCCCCUGAAGCCAUUUGUGGUAGUUCAGGCCUGUGCCUCCAGCACCUGACCAACUGAAGCAAGAAGAUUUAAAGUGGGAAGCCAACCUGGACUUCGUAGUGACAGGAUGUUUCAAACUAAGAAGAAAAUGGAGUUCUUUGAAAGCCACUCUACUAAAGGACAAAGAGUAUUUUAAGUAACAAAAGGAAGGAGUUGUGUUCUGUGUAAUUUCUACUGUGGACACACAUCCUCGCCUCCUGAUAUACCUGCUCUGAUUCCAAGUGGUUAAUUUUUCUGAUAUGCCAAAAAGACAUGCCUCCUCUAUCUUCUAGAACAGUCUAUGUAUGAAAGACCUUAAAUUUCAGGUUCCAACAUGCCUCCAACCUGGAUGGGGAGUGCUAUAGUUUGGGUCUGGAAUUUCCCCAAUGGCCCACACACUAAGGCUUAGUCCCUAGCUUGUCACUAUUGGGAGGUAGCCAAAACAUUAUGAAAUGAGACCUUACCAGAGGAUGCUGGGUCGUUGGGGCUAUGCCAUCAAAGGAAAUAGUGGUGCGUCAUCCCUCCCACUUUCUCUCUUUAACAUACCAGCUUCCAUGAAGCAGCCAUCCUCCACCCCUAGGCACCCCUCUCCGAUAUCCUGCUUUGACAAAAAGCACAAAAUCCUGCAUCGACAGUUGAUCCUGGAAUGAGCCGAAAUGAAGGCUUUCCUUUUGUGAGUUAAUUAACACAAAUAGGACGAGUCCUUGUGAUCCCUCAAAAGGAAUCAAGCAUAAGCUCAUCCUAGGGUUGUACUUGGGGCAUUGCUAGCUGGGUGCCUGCAUGGCUUCUCACUGGUGGAUGGAGCCCGUGCAGGUCAGGACAAGCAAGAGCCACAUCAGUUAGCAUGAAGUAGCACCUUUAUACAUUUAGACACGUGGAAUAUGGACCUCCAUAGCCGCUCCCACAUCCUGCGAAAGGAGCUCCAGAAAACACUGUGUCCCAGAAAUACAGUUCCUUCGUUAAGUUCAGCCGCUUUAGACUCUGAAAAUAGUUCUGAUUUCAUUCACUCGGCUACUUUGGAGUUCAGAAGACACUCGUGGCUAGAAGCUUUAACUAGCUCUGGAGUACAGAAAGGACCUGUCUGGUCAUGAAAGAAAAUCUGGUAGUCAAACACCCCUGCAGAGAUAAUGACAGCCAGGGACCGGGGCCAGGUUACUACACCUUAGGAGACUCGAACUUGAACUUGAAGGUCAAGUGAGAACACUAGGCUCCCCGUGGAGGAAAAGAAACAGCACUGGGCUGUUUUAGCAUCUGUUGACAAGACUUUUUUAGCUGAAGAUAUUGGGCAGGGGCCAUUUCAUUUCCCUGGAGGUCUGAGGAUUUAUGGCGUUGUCACCUGAAAUUCCACAACUUUCUUUCUCUGGUGCUACGGAGGUGGGCUCCCCAACCCACCAAAACACUCACUGGUGGCUCACCAAUUCCUGCCCCAAUCCUGCCUCAGACAUCGUCUUUCUGAGAAAAAGAAGGCAAAUUGGCCCAGAGAAGAGAACAGAAGACACCUGUGAAAUAAUUGUGGCAAAUGAGUUUCAGAGGUUCAGUCCAUUCUUGUCAUGGCGGGAAGCACGGCAGCGUGCAGGCAGACAUGGUGCUGGAGAAGGAGCUGAGAGUUCUACAUCUUGAUCAGCAGGCAGCAGGAGGGGACUGUGUCAUCGGAUGGAUCUUGAGUGUAGAGACCUCAAAGCCCACCACCACAGUGGCACACUUCCUCCAACAAGGCCACACCUCCUAAGAGUGGGUUGGUACCCCUUGGGGGCCUCCCCUUCUCUGAGAAGAAGAAGA